rnacentral:rRNA from 1 species
UACAUGGGGUGCAAACGUUGCUCGGAAUCACUGGGCGUAAAGGGCGCGUAGGCGGGAUGGCAAGUCGGUCGUGAAAUCCCUCGGCUCAACUGAGGAGAGUCGGCCGAUACUGCUGUUCUUGAGGGAUGCAGAGGAGACUGGAAUUCCCGGUGUAGCGGUGGAAUGCGUAGAGAUCCGGAAGAACACCGGUGGCGAAGGCGGUCUGCUGGGCAGUAGCUGACACUGAGGCGCGACAGCGUGGGGAGCAAACAGG